rnacentral:ncRNA from 1 species
AUAAUGGCCGCCGAUUAUGGUGCUUUUGGUGAUAACCAAAAGUUAAACGGGAAGUUCGCAAGACGCUGCCCCCGCAACGGUAAGCAAGAGACUGCAGCACGGUGCCACUGUCAUAUAAUGAUGGGAAGGCGCUGCAACAACUUAUCUGUACUAACAGAUAAGCCUUGCCAGCCCGGAUACCGGCCUGAUCAGGUUGCCGAGA